rnacentral:rRNA from 1 species
UACAGAGGCCCCAAGCAUUACCCGGAAUCACUGGGCGUAAAGGGUGUCUAGGCGGCCAUAUUAGUCUUCUGUUAAAUCUCUGGGCCUAACCCAGAGGCUGCAGGGGAAACGGUAUGGCUCGAGGGCGCGAGAGGUGCACGGAACUCAUGGUGGAGGGGUGAAAUCCGUUGAUAUCAUGGGGAACACCAAAGGCGAAGGCAGUGCACUGGUGCGUUCCUGACGCUGACACACGAAAGCCAGGGUAGCGAACGGG